GGUACGGUGCGCCCGGCCGACGGGGGCAACUCCGUCAGUGCUGGUGUGCGCCUGCCUUUUAUGGAAGCUCUACACGCACUUCACUGUGUGGGUAAAGUUCUCCAUCUUUUACUUUGAAAAAAUUAGAGUGUUUAAAGCAAGCAAUCGCUAUGAAUAUAUUAGCAUGGAAUAAUAAUUUAGGACUUUGUUUCUAUUUUAUUGGUUCUGAGAGACGAAGUA
rnacentral:rRNA from 1 species